rnacentral:rRNA from 1 species
UGGGGAAUAUUGCACAAUGGAGGGAACUCUGAUGCAGCGACGCCGCGUGAACGAAGAAGGCUUUCGAGUCGUAAAGUUCUUUUAUAUGGGAAGAUAAUGACGGUACCAUAAGAAAAAGCCCCGGCUAACUACGUGCCAGCAGCCGCGGUAAUACGUAGGGGGCUAGCGUUGUCCGGAAUCACUGGGUGUAAAGGGUUCGCAGGCGGAAAUGCAAGUCAGGUGUAAAAGGCAGUAGCUUAACUACUGUAAGCAUUUGAAACUGCAUAUCUUGAGAAGAGUAGAGGUAAGUGGAAUUUUUAGUGUAGCGGUGAAAUGCGUAGAUAUUAAAAAGAAUACCGGUGGCGAAGGCGGCUUACUGGGCUCAUUCUGACGCUGAGGAACGAAAGCGUGGGUAGCAAACAGG